CUCCCCGUUCUCCUUCCCGUCCGGCGCUGUCCCCGACGAGCCCACUUUUUCCUGAUGGUGGACGGCGUGCCUCUCAAUGGACGCCUGCUGCUCACGCGGAGGAUUCGUCUCCUCCUCCACGACGGCUGCUUAUCCUUCCCUCCAUCGCGGCCGCUGCACAUGAGAGUAGACAUGAUGUCCUGCAUUCGCUUGCUAGAGCACAUCCAUCACAAUAAUUGAUUAGCUAUGGAAGAUCGCAGAUGAAGAAGAAACCCCAAGCAAAUUGGAUGUCCCUGAUGCCAAGUAACAAAAGCGUAACCUUCUUCUAACCUCAC